GUAGGUGGCAAGCGUCGUCCGGAAUUAUUGGGCGUAAAGCGCGCGCAGGUGGUUCUUUAAGUCUGAUGUGAAAGCCCCCGGCUCAACCGGGGAGGGUCAUUGGAAACUGGGGAACUUGAGUGCAGGAGAGGAAAGUGGAAUUCCACGUGUAGCGGUGAAAUGCGUAGAUAUGUGGAGGAACACCAGUGGCGAAGGCGACUUUCUGGCCUGUAACUGACACUGAGGCGCGAAAGCGUGGGGAGCAAACAGGGAUUAGAUACCCUGGUAGUCCACGCCGUAAACGAUGAGUGCUAAGUGUUGGGGGGGUUUCCCGCCCCUCAGUGCUGCAGCUAACGCAUUAAGCACUCCGCCUGGGGAUACGGUCGCAAGACUG
rnacentral:rRNA from 1 species